rnacentral:lncRNA from 1 species
UUUAUGGAGCCGUGGACAACCUCCUGAGUAAGCUGGUAGACUCGCUCGCAUGAUGGUGCGCCUGACUGCACGACACUGUUCGCCAUGCACCCCUCUACGAUCCGCUUGAAGAAGUCGUCAGAUAAUGAAGGGCCAGUGCCUGAUCCACUCGCACCACUACCUCCGGUGGGUGGGCGACGUUGAGAUCUCGCAGCAGGAACUAUAGUGUAGGCUGGGAC